UUCUUGGUGAUAGAUAAAACUCCAUUGUCCUUUUUUUUUUUUUUCCCUAGUGAGACUCCCAGGUUUACUUAUUAAAUUUUCCCAUUCAUUGCCUCUAUCAGAGAUAAGUGAUUGUUUCUGUUGUCAGGCUUUACCUACUACAUGUUUUUUGAUGUGGUCAGAAUGUUUUUUGCAUGGCAUAUUUUGCCCAAAAAAUUCAUAUGAAAUUUGCCUUCAAUUCUUUUAUUUAUCCAUAUUUCUUUCUUUCUUUCUUUUUUUUUUAAAGAGAGAGAGAGAAAGAUAAAUUUUUUAAUAUUUAUUUAGUUAUCGGCAGACACAACAUCUUUGUUUUUGUAUGUGGUGCUGAGGUUCGAACCCGAGUCGAAUGCAUGCCAGGCGAGCGUGCUACCGCUAGAGCCACAUCCCCAGCCCCUACCCAUAUUUCUUAAUUAUUUUUAAAAAUAUAUGUAUUUUGUCAAUGAACCUUUAAUUAAUUAAUUAAUAUGUAGUGCUGAGAAUUGAACUCAUACCUCACACAUACUAGGUGAGCACUCUACCAUUGAGUCACAACCCUAGACCUGCAUGUUUAUUUUAAUGCAAAAAUAGUCUAAAUUGAUUAUAGUGCUUCAGGAAGAUGUGUAGGACAUAACUUGUGGCCUAGCCUUGGUCUAAACUGGAGCAUGUAAUUCCAAAGCUUGAGAACAGUGUUAUACACACAUAUACAAAUCUUGUAAACAGCAGAGUACCUUCAUGGCAAUUGUAUCCAUAGUGCUGGCAUUAGAGUUGCCAGAAACUUGCAGUGACAUCUGGGGACACUUUGUAGCAGGGGCAAGAGCUAUAUAAAUGAAUUGUUUAUGUUUCGUGUUUUUGUAAAUGGAAAAUAUAGGAUUGUUAGGGGAAUUCUAAUAUUGAUUGGAUAUUAGAAGAUACUAUGGAACUGAUGUUCAAAUUACUCUUUUCUUAAGAAGAUAAACCCAUACUGAUAAAACCGAUAAACCCAGAUUUUUAAGUGUGUCUGAUUUUUUUAGGGAUUCACUCUCAUUAUAAUAACUUAUUUUCUUACAUAAAACCGCUUCUGAGCAAAGAAUUUCUGUUGGAAGGAUCCCCCCAAAGGCUAGCAUAUUUAAGUUAUUAGAAGUUUAAUUUCUUUUUUUUCCCUGAGAAUUUUAGGAUUAUUAAAUUUAAAGGGUUGGGGUUCUAUAAACUAGUCAGAGAAGAUGUGUUUUGAAAUGUUAACCUAAUUUUUAAAUACUGUAAAAAGGAAAAUGUCAAAUUUGUACAGUGAAAUAAAAUGAAGACAUUUCUCGGUUGUAGAUACAGAGUUUAUAACUUAAGUUUUACAGCUUUAGUUAUAGGUCAAAUGUUAACACAGACUGUUAACACCAGUCCCUGGCAGUUCCUUAUUCUAGUAGGCAUAGAAUAUUUAAAAAAUCAAUUUGAGGGCUGGGGUUGUGGCUCAGCGAUAGGGUACUCACCUAGAACGUGGUAGGCCCUGGGUUCGAUCCUCAGCACCACAUAAAAAUAAACAAAAGUAUUGUGUCCAACUACAACUAAAAAUAAAAUAUUAAAAAAAAUCAAUUUGAACUCACAAAUAGGCAAACAGAACAAAGAAAGGUGAGCAACAAAACAUAUUUUCUGUAUCUUCUUACUUUGUGGAGUACUGAAUGAUCCUGACAGAUUAUUAGAUGGUUAAACCAUUAAACCAAGUUUCUAGUCAUUGCUACUAACAAAGGGGAGUAACCUAUUCAUUGUGUCCAAGCCAGAAACAAAAACAAAGCCACAGCUAGGAAAAUCAAAACAAUAAGUAAAGUGGUAGUAAAGGUAAAAUUGCUGUUUUGAAUUACUUCUUGAACCCAGAAUGGUUGUAUCUGGGCUUAAUACAGCUCAUGAAUUGUACCCCUUAGAUAAUGCAGUUUAUUUGGCAUUAUUUGAAGGUUCUCUUUUCUUGGUAGAAUUUUCAAGCUACCAAUGUAUAAUUUUCAAAAAGAUAUAAAAACAUAUAGAUAUAAAGAUAUAUAAACAAGAUUCCUUAAAAUUAUUUAUAUGUUGGAUUUAUUUAACUCAUUAAUGAGGGAUUUAGCAAGAUGACAAAUUUGAUUUCAUAUAGAUAAUACUUUUUUAUUAGUGAAAAUAAUAAACUACAGAUAUUAAGGAGAUUGUCCUUUUUUAGGUGAUCUAGGCUGAGGUGUUUUGGGAUGAGUGGUCAUGACAUCUGAACAUUAGUUUCAUAUGACUCUGCAGAAAAAGAAAAAAGUUCAUGAAUAUGCACAUACAUAUGGGAAAGUAAGAGAUAAGACAAAUAUGGCAAAAUGGUAACAAUAUCUGAAUCUAGAUAAAGGGCAUAUUGUUAUUUGUUAUUCUGUUCUUUAAAUUUUUUAUGGGCUUGACAUUGUUUAAAAUCAAAAUUGAGAAAAACUAGGUAUAUAUAAAGGCAUCCACUUCAACUGUAGCCCUUUUCCUUUGUCCUGUUCCCUUUUUUACCACUACCCCGUGGGUAAUUUUCAUUAGUUUCUUAUUUAAUCUUUUCAGUAUUUUUUGUUUGAAAUAGAAGCAAAUAUUUCUGGCAUCUCUUCUGUAUGAAUUAGUAUCCCAUAUGAAGGUCCCACUCUAAUGACCUCAUUUAGUUAUAGCUCAAAGGCCCCAUUUACAAAUAGUGUACGUUAAAGAUGGGGCCUUCGAUAUAGGAAUUUUGGGUAAUGUAGUUCAGUCUAUAGCAGCAGGUAUAUGUUAAAUUCCUAGGAAUAGGAUUGCUGAUAUCAAAGUACAAAUACAUCUGUAAUAUGUAUAUUGUGUUCAAAUCAUUGAUUCACUGACGUUUAUCCUCAUGUAUGAUACAUGAAUUCAGUUUUUCUCUUUUUUAUUAAUGGCUACCUAAUUGUCCUCAAACCAUUUGUUAUAAUGACUUCCUUCACCUCAUUGAUUUUGAGAUUCUCACUUUAUCACAUAUUAAACCUACCACAUAUAUUUAAAUUUAUUUCUGAAUUUUUCAUUCUGUUUCAUUGGCUCAGAUUCAUACCAUUUUAGUUAUUUAUGUGUUAGGUAUUUUCAUCUUUCAUUUUUUAAAAUUUCCUGUUUUUGUUGCCUGAGUUUUUUGGAAUUAUUUUACCUUUUUAUGUAAAUUAUUUAUUGUGGGAAAUUUCAAACAUAUAAAUAUAAACCAUUAAAUAUCCAUUACGUAGCUUCAAUAACUGUCGGUAUUUGCUGUUUUGUGUUUCAUCUAUUUCAUCUCCCCACUCUUAUCUUUUUGUGAUAUUUUAUAGCUAUGUCACAUACAUUUUACCUGUGAGCACCUUAAUAUGUAUCUGUAAUAGCUGAAGAUCAAAAAAAUUGAAACCACAGUACAAUGCCAUUUUCUAGCAAAAUUAAUGAUGUCAUGGAAGAAGAGUGUUUCUGAAGUGGGGUCCCUGAGUUCUUUGAGAGAAGGGGGAACUUGACUCAGGACCAUCAGGAUUCUUGGCAUUUAAUUCAGCAUUAAAGAAUUUCAGCAUGUGCCCAUCAAAGGCAUAGACAGAAUUUUAUUUAGGAAGUGAAUACAUAUUCAAGGAAGAAUGGAGGCAGUUUUAAGAGAGAAAUACUGGGCUGUGGUUGUGGCUCAGGUAGAGCACUUGCCUAGCAUACGGGAGGCACUGGGUUCGAUCCUCAGCACCACAUAAAAAUAAAAUGAAGAUACUGUAUCCACCUAACUAAAGUAAAUAAAUAAAUAUUAAAAAAAAGAGAGAAGUACAUUAGGGAUAAAGCAAGGAAUAUGUAUUCAAGGGGAAUGUAGGCCAUCUUGAGAGUGAGAGACAUGGUUCGGGGGUUCCUGGCUCUUCUUUUAAAAGAAACUUGGUGAGGGGUAGAUAGGAAGGUAUGUAGGAAUGGUAUCAGUCCAGUGAUCUCAAGAUAGUAUGUUUAAUCUAUCCUUAUCCUUAUAUGGUCUUCUUCAUCUGAUCAGUAGAUGGUGCUGGGAAAUCCCUUAGAUAAUAAGUUCCUGAAGAUAUCAUCUUUCUCUUUGCUUAAUUUAUUUAUUUGGGAGUUAAUUAACAUUGUGCAGGUAGAUUUACAGAUUUUCCAGGAAUUUUAGGAGUACUAGGCCUGCAAAGGAGACUGGCUUAGGGAGUGACAUGCUUGGAAAGGUAUGUGAAACUUUUGAAUUAAAAUCUUAUUUACUUUUCCUUCUUUUAUGUCUUCUUUUUACCUAUUUUUAUUCUCUCCUACUUCAAUGUUAAUAUAUUAAUUAUAUUCACAAUUCGAUAUUAUUCCAAUCUAGUUUAGUGUUCCUUGAUUGUUUUUCUUAUGGGGUCUUGGCUUAUUCAAAUCAGGAUUCAUACAGAGGCCUCAGAUUGCAUUUAAUUGAUACAUCUCUUAGAACUAAUUUGUAGUAGCCUUCUCUCAACUGCAUGUUGAUUUUUUUUUUUUUUUGUACUAGUGAUUGGACUUGGGGCAUUUACCACCUAGCCACAUCCCCAGCCCUAUUUUAUCUGUCAAUCUAUCUGUGGUACUGGAGAUUGAACCCAGGGAUGCUUAACCACUAAGCCACAUCCUUAGCCCCUUUUUAUAUUUUAUUUAGAGACAGGGACUCACUGAGUUGCUUGGGGCCUAAGUUGCUGAGGCUGACUUUGAACUCGCAAUCCUCCUGCCUUUACCUCCUGAGGUGCUAGGGUGCCUGGCUUUAUUUUUUAUUUUGAGACAGGAUCUCACUAAGUUGCUUAGUACCUGGCUAAGUUGCUGGGGCUGGCUUCAUAUAUUGGAUCCUUCUGCCUCAGUCUCCGAAGCUGCUGGGAUUACAGGCAUGUGCUUAUGUAUUUCUUAUUAUAUGAUUUUUGUGAUGUCUCUUCUGCCUUUUGCUCCUUAUGUAAAUGUUUUCAGUCUUUCUUUCUUAAAGGAAUUUGUAUUUUUGUUCACUUCCUUCCCUGAUUUCUGUCAGUUCCCAUUUCACAUUUUCUUACUAUCCAUCACCCACUGUUGUCAGGGCCAUAUGGUCCUCUGUUCAUACUUUGUGUUCUUUUAGUACUGUGAUUGCAUCCUUAAGUCCUUAAGCCUAUUUUAGUUUUUUAGCAUACUGUUUUCAUCUAUUUUGUGGCAAUGUUUGGUGAGUUUUCAUUAUGUAUUUGAAAAUUAUGCUUUUCAUGUUCAUCCUUUUCCGUGGUUGGUUUUUGUGUUCAGGUAGAUGAGUUAGUUACCUUUGUGUUUGAAGGAUAUUGAUUUAGAGGAGGUUCCUGGGUUGGGAAUGGACCUGGGUAUUUUUCCAGGCGUCAUUGUGGAAAGGCUCUCUCUGUAGCCCUGCUUCUCUGGUCCUAAAAACCUGGCCUUUUAUGUACCUGUGCUUCCUACUGCUUCUACUUUUUAUUUAUUUACUUCUACUAUUUAUAUGUGCUUCCUGUGCAUCUUCUUUUAAGUUUGUAUUUUGCUGGCAUUUUCUCAGUGCUCACUGCCUUUUCUUCUCCCUUCUUUGCUUUUCAGUCUUUCCUAUUUUCUACUUUCCCUAGCAAUCCUGUUCUUUUGAUUAAUCUGCCUCUUGCUCCUAGUAACUCUCUUGGCUUGAUGUCCCUCAGCAUCCCAUUUUUUCCGUGACCUCCUGGUUGCUUUUCAUAAGCUGGCAGUUGUUUUUUUAUUUUCUCAUUGUUUUCAGAUUUGGUUAAAGUAAUUUGUUCUUAGGUAGUGCAAAUUUAUAAUAUGAUUUAAGUUUGUGCAGUUUCCUAUUUUUCAGUUACACUGAUGAUAAAGAUUUUAUUUUGUUUAUCUUUAUUUCUUUACAGUUUCAUAUUGAUCUUACAUAUGUCCAAAAUUUGUUAUUGUAUAUUUUGUAUUUUUGUUGCUAGUGGCAGUGGAUCUGUUUCUUCUGCUACUUAUUCAAUUGAUGAUUAUUUACGUGUAUUUGUUAUAUUGAUUUUUAAAAUAUUUUUGUUUUCUUUUUUAGUUGUAGAUGGAAACAAUGCCUUUCUUUCUUUCUUUCUUUCUUUCGUUCGUUCGUUUCUUGUGCUGGGGAUCAAACCUAGUGCUUCACACAUGAUAGGCAAGUGCUCUACCACUGAACCACAACCCCUGCCCUGUUAUAUUAAUUUUGUAUCUAAGCUAACUUCCUCAUUAUUUAGAAUUCAGUUGAUUUUUCAAAGUUUUUUUGUAUAUAAAUAUGUCACUUGUAAAUAAUAUAUAUUUUUUCGUGUUCUAAAUUAUAUACCACUGAUCACACUGUUGUUUUGACAUGUUUGUGGUUGUAAUGAUACUGAUAAUUUUCAUUUGCUCUAGGGAUGUUAUAUUUUUCUACUAAGCAUAAUAUCAACUUUGGGGUUAAGAUUUUUAUUAUAUUAAGGAACUACAUAUUUCUAUUUUACUGAGAUUAAAAAAAUAAUAAAGAUAUAGUGCUAGUCAGCUUUCUGUUAAAAAUAUGUGAGAGAAUCAGCUUUAUAAACAGAAAAGUUUUACUUUGGCUUACAGUUUUGGAGGUUUCAGCACAUGAUUUGUGGACCCUGUUGCAGCAUAUGAGGCAGCAUAUGGUGGCAGCACACGGCAAAACCUUUGAUUGGGAUAUUGUUUCUUUUGCUGAGAAGAAACCAACCUAGAUGCCCUUCAAUAGAUGAAUGGAUAAAAAAAGUGGCAUAUAUACACAAUGGAAUAUUACUCAGCAGUAAAAGAGAAUAAAAUCAUAUGAUUUGCAGGUAAAUGGAUGGA